UAUUGCAUAUAUAUAUGUGUGUGUGUGUGUGUGUGUGUGUGUGAGUGUGUAAGUACAGACACACAUACACAUAUUUUAGGCAUAUAUAUAUA
rnacentral:miRNA from 1 species